rnacentral:lncRNA from 1 species
GCAGAAUCACAGGCUGACUUCUUCAAGACCGCUGUCAUGAGGAGAUACACAUUAAUGUUGCUGAUUGGCUUGCUCUGCUUUUAUGGUUGCCACUGCGGCCAUGAACCCGCACAAGUUGAAAAAAAACCAAAUGCUAUAUAUUGUAAGCAAUAUGAUUGCCCGAAUAAUACACCAUGUCCAAGUCCAUGCCAAUGUUCAGCCUGGGAUGCAGCAGCAUAUGCUGGCAGAUAUUAUUGCUUCUGCCCUACUGGUAACCCAGAUUGUAAGUGAAGAAAACAAUGGUUAAAUAAACAAUAAAAAAUCAUUCAUUGGUGA